rnacentral:tRNA from 1 species
GAAGGUACAGCUCAGUGGUAGAGGGCGUGCCUCGCAAGCACCAGGUCCUGGGUUCAAGCCCCAGUACCUCCA